rnacentral:rRNA from 1 species
UACGGGUGGCGCAAGUGUUAUUCCUCUUGACUAGGCGUAAAGGGUGCGUAGACAGAUAAUCUUAUUUAAAGUGAAAUAUAUGCUUUUUUUUACUUUUUUAUCUUGAGUGAUUUGGACGAUGGUGGAACUUCUUGCAUUAGCGUUAAAAAUGCGUUUUAAAACUAGAGAGAACACCAAAGGCAAAGGCAACCAUCGACUUGUCACUGACGUUGAGGCACGAAGGCAUGGGGAUCAAAUGGG